UACGUAGGCAGCAAGCGUUGUUCGGAGUUACUGGGCGUAAAGAGUGCGUAGGCGGUGCUCUAAGUUUGGUGUGAAAUCUCCCGCUUAACUGGGAGGGUGCGCCGAAAACUGGAGUGCUUGAGUAUGGGAGAGGCAAGCGGAAUUCCUGGUGUAGCGGUGAAAUGCGUAGAUAUCAGGAGGAACACCUGUGGUGUAGACAGCUUGCUGGACCAUUACUGACGCUGAGGCACGAAAGCGUGGGUAGCAAACAGG
rnacentral:rRNA from 1 species